GGCUGGUGGAAGGUAAUGAGUUAUCCUAGUUGGUGGUUCACAGUUCACAUUGUCCCCUUCUCACGACUGCACUUGACCAGUCUAAA
ensembl:misc_RNA Gm24379 predicted gene, 24379